rnacentral:rRNA from 1 species
UCGGGAAUAACUGUGAGAAAUCGCAGCUAAUGUCCGAUGUGGAGGAAACUCUAAAGAUUUAUCGAUUAGGGAUGAGCCUGUGGCCUAUCAGCUAGUUGGUGAGGUAAAGGCUCACCAAGGCUAUGACGGGUACCGGAUCUGAGAGGAUGUACCGGCAGAGGGGCACUGAGACACGGGCCUCACUCCUACGGGAGGCAGCAAUCGGGAAUUUUGCGCAAUGGACGAAAGUCUGACGCAGCGACACCGCGUGGAGGAUGAAUGCCUUCGGGUUGUAAACUCCUAUCAAAAAGCACCGGCUAACUACGUGCCAGCAGCAGCGGUCAAACGUAGGGUGCAAGCAUUAUCCGGAUUUACUGGGCGUAAAGAGUUCUGUAGGCGGUGACAUAAGUUGAUAGUUAAAUCUUUCGGCCUAACCGAAAGGCUGCUUUCAAUACUGUGUUGCUAGAGUCAGCUAGGGGACAGUGGAAUUCGUGGUGGAGCAGUGAAAUGCGUUGAUAUCACGAGGAACACCAAGGGAGAAGUCAACUGUCUGGGGCUGUACUGACGCUGAGAGACGAAAGCUAGGGGAGAGAAAAGGAUUAGAUACCCUUGUAUUCCUAGCUGUAAACGAUGCCUGCUAGAUACUUGGUUUUAUAACUGAGCGUCGAAGCUAACGCGUUAAGCAGGCCGCCUGGGGAGUACGGUCGCAAGGCUAAAACUCAAAGGAAUUGGCGGGGACCCGCACAAGCGGUGGAGCAUGCUCUUUAAUUGGUUGAUAACCCAAGAACCUCACCCAGACUUGACAUGUUUGUAGUAGGAAUCCGAAAGGUGACCGAUCCUGAAUUUAUUCGGGAAGCAUACACAGGUGUUGCAUGGCUGUCGUCAGCUCGUACCGUGAGGCGUACCCUUAAGUGGGUUAACGAGCGCAACCCCUACUGCUAGUUGUAUCACUCUAGCGGAACUGCCAUCGUAAGAUGGAGGAAGG